GACGAACGCUGGCGGCGUGCUUAACACAUGCAAGUCGAACGGUGAUGCUCCAGCUUGCUGGAGUGGAUCAGUGGCGAACGGGUGAGUAACACGUGAGCAACCUGCCCCAGACUCUGGAAUAAGCGCUGGAAACGGCGUCUAAUACUGGAUACGAAACUGGCCCGCAUGGGCAUGGUUUGGAAAGUUUUUCGGUUUGGGAUGGGCUCGCGGCCUAUCAGCUUGUUGGUGAGGUAAUGGCUCACCAAGGCGACGACGGGUAGCCGGCCUGAGAGGGCGACCGGCCACACUGGGACUGAGACACGGCCCAGACUCCUACGGGAGGCAGCAGUGGGGAAUAUUGCACAAUGGGCGAAAGCCUGAUGCAGCGACGCCGCGUGAGGGAGGACGGCCUUCGGGUUGUAAACCUCUUUCAGCAGGGAAGAAGCGAAAGUGACGGUACCUGCAGAAGAAGCACCGGCUAACUACGU
rnacentral:rRNA from 1 species